GUCGAGGGGUAUAAGUCUUCGGAUUUAGAGACCGGCGCACGGGUGCGUAACGCGUAUGCAAUCUACCUUUUACAGAGGGAUAGCCCAGAGAAAUUUGGAUUAAUACCUCAUAGUAUUAUGAAAUGGCAUCAUUUUAUAAUUAAAGUCACAACGGUAAAAGAUGAGCAUGCGUCCCAUUAGCUAGUUGGUAAGGUAACGGCUUACCAAGGCUACGAUGGGUAGGGGUCCUGAGAGGGAGAUCCCCCACACUGGUACUGAGACACGGACCAGACUCCUACGGGAGGCAGCAGUGAGGAAUAUUGGACAAUGGGCGCAAGCCUGAUCCAGCCAUGCCGCGUGCAGGAUGACGGUCCUAUGGAUUGUAAACUGCUUUUAUACGAGAAGAAACACUGCUUCGUGAAGCAGCUUGACGGUAUCGUAAGAAUAAGGAUCGGCUAACUCCGUGCCAGCAGCCGCGGUAAUACGGAGGAUCCAAGCGUUAUCCGGAAUCAUUGGGUUUAAAGGGUCCGUAGGCGGUUUGGUAAGUCAGUGGUGAAAGCCCAUCGCUCAACGGUGGAACGGCCAUUGAUACUGCCAGACUUGAAUUAUUAGGAAGUAACUAGAAUAUGUAGUGUAGCGGUGAAAUGCUUAGAGAUUACAUGGAAUACCAAUUGCGAAGGCAGGUUACUACUAAUGGAUUGACGCUGAUGGACGAAAGCGUGGGUAGCGAACAGGAUUAGAUACCCUGGUAGUCCACGCCGUAAACGAUGGAUACUAGCUGUUGGAAGCAAUUUCAGUGGCUAAGCGAAAGUGAUAAGUAUCCCACCUGGGGAGUACGUUCGCAAGAAUGAAACUCAAAGGAAUUGACGGGGGCCCGCACAAGCGGUGGAGCAUGUGGUUUAAUUCGAUG
rnacentral:rRNA from 1 species